UUCUUAAUCAGGUACAGUCAGCCAUUUACUGUUGCUAGUUGGAAAUGAGGACUCUAAUGCAGAAUACAAAUGAGAAAUAUGUAUUAUUCAUGAAGUCAUUUUAUAAAAUGGUAGGCUAUUUUCUGUAGGCUAAAGGAAUGUUAAGCUUCUGGAUCCUGGAAAUUUCAAAUAAGAGUAAUUUAUUUAAUUAAAAAAGGGGAAGUUUAGAAGAGUUGCUGGGGAGUUGGACAAAAUUUGUCUUGGAUAUGCUAAGUUUGAAGUACCCCUGGGAUAGAGUCAGGCUGAUGGAAAAGAUUGGCAUUAAUCAGGAUUGAUUAGGCUAUGCUGUAAUAACAAAUAAGACCGAAUGUCAUAUUGCAGCAAAGUUUUACCCAUGGCAGGUAGGCAACAUAACAUAUUAAACACAUCGGGCAGCCUAACUCUCCUCUUUGAAAAAGUUGGCAGGGUGGGGGGGAGCACAACACAUGGAGACUUCCUCCCCAGUGGAACAACAUUGAAGGAGGGGAGAGAGUCAUUUCACACUUGACAAAUACUGCUUCAGCCAGAGGAGCAAUGCUGAUGUCAGCAGAGAUAAGUCAUACAGAUGGUAUGUACUGUCGAUAUUAUGUCAUGAAAAUGCCACUUUACCUCCUGAAAGCCCAUACCUCAGUCUAAUCAUGAGAAAAUUAUCAUUCAAAGCACAACUGAAGGACUUUCUACAGAAUGCCUAAGCAGACUUCUCAAAAGAAAAAAAGUAAUUUUGGUGAUGAGAACACUUAACAUAAGAUCUACCCUCUUAGCAAAUGUUUAAGUAUUCAAUGCAGUAGUGUGAACUACAGGCCCUGUACUGCACAGUAGAUGUCCAUGAUUUGUUCAUCUGUAUAAACAAACUCCUUUAUACUGCUAUCUGCCUUCCCCCCUCCCUCCAGGCCUUGCCAAUCACCAUUCAAAAUAAUGAUAAUAAUAAUAAAAAUGGAAAAUUGGGAAGGUGAUGGAUGGACUUUUGGCAUGAAUUGUGGUGUUGGUUUUAUUGGUGUAUACUUAACUCCUCACGUUGUAUAGUUGUAUAUAUUAAAUAUGUCUAGCUUUUUUAUGUCAAUGAUACUUCAUUAAAGUAGUUUAAGAAAAGAUAAGGAAAUUCAAAGAAACUGUCACAGUCAAGAACCUAAAUGUAAUGUAUCCUGGAUGAGAUCCUGGAACAAUAAAUUGUACACUAUGUAAGGGUAAAAGAAAUUGAAGUUAAAGCGUAAAAGUUAAAGGGUAAAAGACCGGGUAUUGUAAAGUUUCUAAGCUGCAAGGUCUGAGUUAAAAUGUAAAGGAUUAGGUAUUGUUAGGUUUCUAUGCUACCUGCAAAACCUGAAAUUUCUGUAGCUGUUAAGACAAUGCUUGGAACCGCCCAGUAAAUAUUUCCCCUGACUACUUGGUUGUUUAAUAACUGAAGGGCUCUGUGUGGUCGCACGUAGGCAUCACAGGGCCUAAACCAAUCAGUUUGAAUGUGUACCCUGUUUAGAAAUGACCUAUCACUCCCGCCUGACCUGUUCCCGCCAAUGAAUGAACUAAUCAUGUUUAGGAAUUGUUGUUUGAUUUUCCUGUGGUGUAUGAUGAUUUGUUAAAGGAGACUGUGAUGUAUGUAAAGUCCUGCCCUCCCCCAAAAAAGUGUACUUAAGCAGUGCUCAGCCCCUG
rnacentral:lncRNA from 1 species